UGGGGAAUAUUGGACAAUGGGCGCAAGCCUGAUCCAGCCAUGCCGCGUGAGUGAAGAAGGCCUUAGGGUUGUAAAUCUCUUUCGGCGGGGAAGAUAAUGACGGUACCCGCAGAAGAAGCCCCGGCUAACUCCGUGCCAGCAGCCGCGGUAAUACGGAGGGGGCUAGCGUUGUUCGGAAUUACUGGGCGUAAAGGGCACGUAGGCUGGCUGUUAAGUCGGGGGUGAAAUCCCGAGGCUCAACCUCGGAAUUGCCUUCGAUACUGACGGUCUUGAGUGCGGGAGAGGUGAGUGGAAUUCCCAGUGUAGAGGUGAAAUUCGUAGAUAUUGGGAAGAACACCAGUGGCGAAGGCGGCUCACUGGCCCGCAACUGACGCUGAGGUGCGAAAGCGUGGGGAGCAAACAGG
rnacentral:rRNA from 1 species